AUUGAACGCUGGCGGCAGGCUUAACCUAUGCAAGCCGAGCGGGGCAAGGUAGCUUGCUACUGGACCUAGCGGCGGACGGGUGAGUAAUGCUUAGGAAUCUGCCUAUUAGUGGGGGACAACAUCUCGAAAGGGAUGCUAAUACCGCAUACGUCCUACGGGAGAAAUCAGGGGAUUUUCGGACCUUGCGCUAAUAGAUGAGCCUAAGUCGGAUUAGCUAGUUGGUGGGGUAAAGGCCUACUAAGGCGACGAUCUGGAGCGGGUCUGAAUGGAUGAUCCGCCACACUGGGGCUGAGAGACGGUCCAGACUCCUACGGGAGGCAGCAGUGGGGAAUAUUGGACAAUGGGGGGAAACCUGAUCCAGCCAUGCCGCGUGUGUGAAGAAGGGCUUAUGGUUGUAAAGCACUUUAAGCGAGGAGGAGGCUACUCUAGUUAAUACCUAGGGGUAGUGGACGUUACUCGCAGAAUAAGCACCGGCUAACUCUGUGCCAGCCGCCGCCGUAA
rnacentral:rRNA from 1 species